UCCGGUUUGUCACCGGCAGUCUCCCAUGAGUCCCCAACUUAAUGAUGGCAGCAUGGAACGGGGGUUGCGCUCGUUGCGGGACUUAACCCAACAUCUCACGACACGAGCUGACGACAGCCAUGCAGCACCUCCACGGCAGCCCCGAAGGGAAGCUCCAUCUCUGGAGCAGUCCACCGCAGUUCAAACCCAGGUAAGGUUCUUCGCGUUGCGUCGAAUUAAACCACAUGCUCCACCGCUUGUGCGGGCCCCCGUCAAUUCCUUUGAGUUCCAGCCUUGCGGCCGUACUCCCCAGGCGGGGCACUUAAUGCGUUAGCGCCGGCCCUCGGAGGGUCGCUCCCCCAAGCGCCUAGUGCCCAUCGUUUACGGCGUGGACUAC
rnacentral:misc_RNA from 1 species